rnacentral:lncRNA from 1 species
UGAGGCCCGCCUAGCUCUGUGAAACUCGCCACAGCUGUGAUUUCUGAAAAUUCAAAGACAGAUCCUCAUCCUGUGACUGGCUGAAUUACAAUGCAAGUUGAACUGACAGCCUUGAAGAAUGUCUACUGUUAAAGUGAGGACAUUAAUUGGGAAGGAAUGGAAUCCUGAGGUUGGAAUAUGGAUGUGUGGGAGGACCCUGACGAAGCUGGUAACACUGAGCUCCUAAAUUCUGAUAUGACUUCUUUGCCAGUGGAAGAGACUUAUUCACCUACAAUAGAAGCAAUUCCUCCAUCCCCAUCAGAGGGGAUUAACUCUGCAAUGUCUGAGAAAAAACUCUAAUGGCAAGGGAGUGGCCAUGCAGGACAAUGUUGGGUCUCUUCAGGACACAUCCACAUCACUCCUCUUUUCUUCUAGGCCUGUGACUAGGCUUAAGUACUAGCAAGCUCCCAAAAGUAAGCUACAAAGUACAAACCAUGAGGAGGCGUGCCACAGCCCAAAAGAGCUAUUUGAGUUUUCUACUUUAUACAGACGGAAAUCUGGGGAACAUGUGUGUGAUUAG